rnacentral:lncRNA from 1 species
GAUGCAUAAGCAAGUUCCCAGACUAGGGGUCAAAUUAGAGCUAAAUCUGCCGGCCUAUACCACAGCCACACGGACUCGGGAUCCAAGCCGUGUCUGCAACCUACACCACAACUCAUGGCAACACCAGAUCCUUAACCCACUGAGCGAGUCCAGGGAUUGAACCCACAUCCUCAUGGAUCCUAGUUGGGAUCUUUAACUGCUGAGCCACUAAGGGAACUCCUUGGACUUCUAAUUUUAGAACUCUACCCUUAGUUGGCUCAUUUCUAGCAAUCUAUAAUUAUUCAAUAGGUUGGGAUAAUCUUAGGGUGGCCUGUAUGAAUAUGCUUGAGAGCACAGACACAACUUACUGUGUCUCUUUCCCCUUAGUUGUCAGUGGACAAAAUCCUUACCUCCUAUAUGUGGUUGUGAUGCAUAAUUUACAUAAUUCACGCAGAGUUUAUUUAUGUUUAGCACACUGUCUGGACCCUAGUAAGUGCUCAAUAAAAAUCAGCUCUUAUUAACUAUGCUGUGUUAACAACUCCUCCUGUGAGUUUAAUUUAGAAUAUUUACAUAUGCAUAAUUCAACCUACUUCAUUUUAAAAUGCACUGACACAGGGAUAAUCAAGUAUUUCUGAAUACCAAGAAACAUUUUAAGUUCAUCAACCUAGGGGUGAACAAUAAAGUGAAUAAGUAAAGAUAACAAGUGCAGACAACUUUUCCAAAAAGUCAGGUUGUAAAGGGAAGGGACAAAGUAGGCAGGAGCUUUGGUAUUGAAGGAGAAUUUACUUUUUCAUGUGUGGUUUUAUUUGGUUGUUUAAUGUAUGUUUGUGAAUGUGUGUGUUUUUAAAAUGAAUAAAACAUGAACAUACACUAUGACAGACACAGGGAUGAUGACAAAUAAAUAUACACAAAUAAGUAUAUACUUCUUAUACUUAAGGAUAAUGCUUAUUGUUGUUAUAAGCAUAUAAAUAUAUUUUAAUUAAUACAAUAUAUAAGAAGUUAAAAACAUGAGAAAAAUGAAACUCUAGGACCUAAAAGAACUAUGGAUGAUGUCAAAGAUAGAAACAGUAUGUAGGACCCCUUGUGGUUCAGCAGGCUGAGGAUCUGGCAUUGUCAUGCCAUGGCUUGGGUCACGGCUGUGGCAUGGGUUUGAUCCCUGGCCUGAGAACUUCCACAUGCCAUAGGCAUGGCCAAAUAUAUAUAUAUGUCUACUUUGUAAUCAUUCACAAUCUUCUUGUCUUUAAAGACAACUUUAAUAAAGUAAAGCCACAUAAAUGCUUCUUUGUUGUUAUAAGCAUAUAAGUAUAUUUUAAGUCAUACAAUAGAUGCAGAUCUAAAAAGCUGCUU